AAAACGGAUUCAUCGCGCAGAAUCCGUCUCUGUGUGUAAAAUAAAUCAGUUUCAAAAGUGUAAAUGACUUAUACAUGCUGCAUACAGAGAGAAAAGCAGUUUCUUGAAAUCUACAGGUCCGUCUGCGCUUUAGUUUUGUCACGAUUCUCUCACACUCAUUCAGUUUGCAAGCGUGAGUGGGAAGGCGGGGCUACCGUUCUUGUGACCAAUCAAAUGGGGCUCCCGGUUUCUUUCUUCUGAUUGGUUCAAUAACGCGCCAGUCGGCACUGCAGGCAGACGUCGGUAGUUGUUUUUCACACACAGUAUCAUCCACGAGGCUGCAGGCAUAGACAUGGUACUUUAUUGCAUACACACACGGACAAAUGUAGAAACUUAAUAUAUAUGUAUACGAUCCUUUAAGCUGUCUGAUACGUGUUGAUACUGAAUUUUAAGAUGGCGUUUUGUUAAAAAAAAAACGUAUUAAAUUACCACUAGUGUGGUAAUCAAUUAUGUACAUCAAAUCUGAUAACAACAUUGAACUGACGCUUUAUUUUUGUAAUGGUAAAGUAUGUUAAAUUAAUCUUAAAGUGUCAGGUAAAAUAAGAGAUUCAUAUACACAUCGAUUGUCAAAACAUUUUUACUAGGUUAUUUUUGAGUUAUCCUGACACAUUUGAGAAUCUAAAGAACAAAGCAAAAAAGGCUUAACUAUUGUAAAGUCUGUUGUAGAAAUAUUUUUCCCAUUAUUUGUUAUCCCGUGUAUUUAGUUUGUUGUGUGUGUGUGUGUGUGUGUGUGUGUGUGUGUGUGUGUUUUUCUUUCUCUGAAGUUAUUCUUCUUGUCAUUGAUAUUAAUUUUCCAUUUGUAUUUUGCAUUUGUUAUUAAUAAAGAAUACAUAAAUAUCGAAAAUAUGAGUUUCUACUGUUCUAACAUUUAGCUUUUAUAACCAAAGAUGUUAUCUUCGCUAGUACUGAUAAUAACAAUCAUACCAAAUUUGUAUAUCAACAACAGAUGAAUAGCACUGUUAUCAGUGCAAUUUUUAUCUAAACGUAUUGGUAAUGCAGAUACAGGGUAGCAGUGUAGAAGUUGGCAUGCUUUCCAGUGAGUCACUGUAAAUGCUAUGACACAGCAGUGGUGGCUAGAAGUUCGGUCCUCCCGUCUUUAAAAAUAUACUUUCAUACGUUUAAAUGUCAUUAUGGUAUUAAGUGUGGAGUAUAAGUUAUUUCUAUGUAACGUAAACAAGCAUCAACAAAAUUUGCUGUGUUAUUUUGGCUGUUUGGGCAACCGACGGUCCUUAAUAUCAUAGCGCUCUAUGACUGGCGGAAGUAGUCCAGCAUCCUGAGAUAGUCAAGCGCUGCCGUGCAUAGAGUCCAUUCUUCUGUUUCUCAAGGAAUUGGUGAUGAAUAUAUUGGAUAGGCUCCAUUUGCGGCUGUCCCACCUGCUUAAUCGGCCACCUAUUGAUUUAGAUUUUUUGGAGUUUACAUGUUCCCAGGAGUUAGUUUUUUUAAGUGCACUCUCAAGCCAGGAAUCUUUUCCACAUGCUGUAAUAGAGGGACUCAGAGAGGUUUUUCAGAUUAUUGGUGAGAUCAACCAAAACCAACAGUGUACACACACUGUGGAAUUUGAAUCUGGAAAACUUGGGCGACCAAGAAUACUUUUAUCAGAAGAACGUCUUAAAGAACUAAUUUCCAUGUCCCUACCAGUGCCCUGUGUUGCAAAAAUGCUAGGAGUGAGCACAAGGACCAUUCAACGCAGAAUGUCAGAAUUAGGACUGGCAGUGAGAGACACAUACAGUAGUGUUUCAGAUACAGAGCUGGAUACAUUAGUAUCAGCAGUGAAAUCCAGACAACCUUAUGCUGGAUACAGAAUGGUAAAGGGUUUGCUGCAGGCUGAGGGGCAUAGAGUGCAGUGGGAAAGGAUUCGGGCCUCCAUGCAUCGAGUGGACAGUGCUGGAAUUAUCUCUAGAUUGACACAGUUGGGAUGUGUUGUUCGUCGGACAUAUUCUGUGCCCAGCCCAAGAGUAUUGAUGCACAUUGAUACCAAUCACAAGCUUAUAUACGGUAUGCAUAUCCGUAUCCUAAUUAGUUAAAGUAUUCUUAUUAGCUAAACUUUAUUUUCAUUGUUUGGAAAAAUACAUUUAAGAUUUUUGUAAAAACUGUAUAUAUUACACACAUUUUCAUAAGUUUAAUUUAAUGUGUUGUUUUUUUAAACAGGUACAACAUUGUAAUCUUUGGAGGCAUCGAUGGGUUUUCGAGAAAGAUCAUGUACCAGAUGUUGCAACCAAUAAUCUGGCAUCAACCACCCUGUACUUCUUUCAGCGUUCUGUUGAACGAUUUGGUCUUCCACUCAGGGUCAGGGGAGACCAAGGGGUUGAAAAUGUAGACGUGGCUCGUAUGAUGUUCUCUGUUCGGGGUACAGGAAGAAGCAGCUUCAUUGCAGGGAAGAGUGUCCACAACCAAAGAAUAGAGAGGCACUGGAGAGAUAUCUGGGUUGCAGUCACAAACAUCUACUACACUGUGCUUCAUCAACUGGAGGAAGAAGGGCUGUUGGAUAUGUCUAAUCGUAUGCAUCUCUUCUGUUGCCACUAUGUGCUCAUCCCAUGACUGCAAGCUCAUUUGGACACUUUUCGUGAUGGAUGGGACAAUCACCCUCUAAGUACAGAGGGAAAUCUGACUCCAAACCAGCUGUGGGAGCUGGGAAGACAUCAGGUCUCAGGUUUUCCAGAAAAUGAGGAAAUUGAAAUUCCAUUAAUUGACUGGGAAAGCAGUGGCCUAGCAACAGAACCUAACUCAGGCAUCCAGGUACCAGAAAUAGAAUGCCCAAUAACUCCAGAGGCAAAACAGGAACUUAGGGCUGCAAUAGACCCAAUGGGACCAUCAGAUUCUUUUGGCUAUGAUAUUUAUAUAUCCACUGUAGAAUAUCUGCAACUUAAUUUCUCUGUUUAUAUGUAAAAAUGGCAAUACAAGAGAAAAUCUGGCAGUUUUUUAAACUGUAAGAUUUAGACAUCUGUGUAAUGUAUAA